UACAGAGGGGGCAAGCGUUAUUCGGAAUUAUUGGGCGUAAAGGGCGCGUAGGCGGCUUUGCAAGUGACGGGUGAAAUCCCUCGGCUUAACCGAGGAACUGCCUGUCAAACUGCAUGACUUGAGACCGGGAGAGGUGAGUGGAAUUCCCAGUGUAGCGGUGAAAUGCGUAGAUAUUGGGAGGAACACCAGUGGCGAAGGCGGCUCACUGGACCGGUACUGACGCUGAUGCGCGAAAGCGUGGGGAGCAAACAGG
rnacentral:rRNA from 1 species